AUGGAAGUUGAGACUCAGUCUGUCUUUGAUCUUAACCCGAAUUCGAACCCAUACGACAUUCACCCGUCGGGUUUUCGGACCUCCGAGUACCCGGACCCGACAUUCCGUCUCUCCCUUCACGAUGAUACGCCGCUAUCAGAAACAUUUGAGUUGUCGGAGGAGUUGCACGCGCUUGGAAGCGCGUGUGCCGAGUCCAGCGCUGCUGUUUGUGUUCAGAAGGUCUACCGUGGGUACCGUACGCGGCGGAGGUUGGCUGAUUCCGCCGUUGUUGCGGAAGAACUAUGGUGGCAAGCGAUAGAUUUUUGGAGAUUGAAUCGCAGUACGAUUUCUUUCUUUAAUUUGCCUGAAACUGCUGCGUCUCGAUGGUCUCGAGUCACACUCAAUGCUUCCAAGGUUGGUAAAGGGUUGUCCUUAGACGCCAAAGCACAAAAAUUGGCUUUUCAGCAUUGGAUUGAAGCUAUUGAUCCACGCCAUCGCUAUGGACACAACUUGCAUUAUUAUUAUGAAGAAUGGUGCAAAACUGAUUCUGGUCAACCUUUCUUUUAUUGGUUGGAUUUGGGAAAUGGGAAAACUCUUGAUCUUGAACGGUGUUCCCGAUCGAAGCUUCGAAAACAAUGCAUAAAGUAUCUUGGACCUCAAGAGAGGGAGAACUAUGAAUAUGUUGUCUGCGAUGGAAAAAUUAUCAACAACCAAUCUGGAGAUUUUCUUCAUACCAAAAAGGAUUCUGA